rnacentral:rRNA from 1 species
AUACGGAGGACGCGAGCGUUAUCCGGAUUCAUUGGGUCUAAAGGGUGCGCAGGCGGCCGUGCAAGUCAGCGGUUAAAUCGUGGGGCUCAACCCCAUUCUGCCGUUGAUACUGGGUGGCUUGAUUGCGGUCGAGGUUGGCGGAAUUCGUUGUGUAGCGGUGAAAUGCAUAGAUAUGACGAAGAACACCGAUCGCGUAGGCAGCUGACCAGACCGCAAAUGACGCUCAUGCACGAAAGUGCGGGGAUCGAACAGGAUUAGAUACCCUGGUAGUCCGCACAGUAAACGAUGAAUACUUGUUUUCGGCGAUAUAAUGUCGGAGGCAAAGCGAAAGCGAUAAGUAUUCCCCCUGGGGAGUACGCCGGCAACGGUGAAACUCAAAGGAAUUGACGGGG